UUUCUACUCCCUCCGUCCGAAAAUACUUGUCAUCAAAAUGGAUAAAAAGAGAUGUAUCUAAAACUAAAAUACGUCUAGAUACAUUUCCUUUUAUCCAUUUUGAUGACAAGAAUUUCUGGACGGAGGGAGUAUUUG
rnacentral:pre_miRNA from 1 species